UACGGGGGGGGCAAGCGUUGUUCGGAAUUACUGGGCGUAAAGGGCUCGUAGGUGGCCAACUAAGUCAGACGUGAAAUCCCUCGGCUUAACCGGGGAACUGCGUCUGAUACUGGAUGGCUUGAGUUCGGGAGAGGGAUGCGGAAUUCCAGGUGUAGCGGUGAAAUGCGUAGAUAUCAAGUGGAACACCAGUGGCGAAGGCGAGUCCCCGGACAACUCCUGACACUGAGGCACGAAAGCUAGGGGAGCAAACAGG
rnacentral:rRNA from 1 species